rnacentral:tRNA from 1 species
AAUCAAUGAACUUGAAUAAGUAUAUAUUUUGAAAAUAUAAUAAAGAAGUAUCCUUCUAUUGAUUU